rnacentral:misc_RNA from 1 species
CCUUCUAUCAGACACAUCCUCGACACAUCCUAAAAGGGAAAUUCAAGUAACAAAUGUAAGUAUUUGCCACCACCAUGAAUUAUAACAGGAAAGAAUCAUAAACAUUAUUUAAAUGUUAAUCGUUUAUCAUCGAUCAUUCUUCUACAUUAUCCCUUUUUUAUGAAAUGAACUGCAACAUGUUGCACAUCAAAAUUCAAGACAUCUUCCUUUAUUCCAAGUCAAUCAAAAGCUGCUUCAAAUAAGCCAACUAAAGAUUGGACUAAAACCAGCUGUUCGUAAAGCAUACUGACAGAAUGAGAAAGAGAUGUCCGAAGGGACUUCCAGUUACUUCAGUUUUGAGAAUAGCACCGGAGCAACCUGCAUAGCAAAAAUGCCAAAUUCAGUGGCUGAGCUAGGCCAAUAAUGUAGAAAUUUUUAAACAACGAAUGAAGACUUACACAUCUAUCAAUACAAAAUAAGUAGUCAAAGUACUGCCCUGUACAGUGUUUUUGCCCAGGUUCAUCACCUUCAAUCCUCUUAAUACAUGCCUGUAAUAAGUGAAACAGAAUUAUCCCUUCAGUGGCAUAGAAUCAUAUCCUCAAGGAAAAAAUAUUUCCUGCUAGUUAAAGAUAAUCUUUCCAUUCAGCAGUAAUUAGUCAAUGAAAUGGUUUUAAAUUUCAGCUAAUAUAGCCAAAAGUUAUCCAUGUGCUGCACCCGUAGAGAUAAAUGUCCAUGAUGACAAGACUUCAAU